rnacentral:rRNA from 1 species
UGCGCAGGCGGGGAUGUGAGUCAGUGGUGAAAUACUGCCGCUCAACGGUAGAACUGCCAUUGAUACUGCAUCUCUUGAGUAUGGUUGAGGUAGGCGGAAUGUGUUGUGUAGCGGUGAAAUGCAUAGAUAUGACACAGAACGCCAAUUGCGAAGGCAGCUUACUAAGCCAUUACUGACGCUGAGGCACGAAAGCGUGGGGAGCGAACAGGAUUAGAUACCCUGGUAGUCC